rnacentral:rRNA from 1 species
AUUGAACGCUGGCGGCAUGCUUUACACAUGCAAGUCGAACGGUAACAGGCCUUCGGGUGCUGACGAGUGGCGAACGGGUGAGUAAUGCAUCGGAACGUGCCCAGAGGUGGGGGAUAACGCAGCGAAAGCUGUGCUAAUACCGCAUGUGAUCUGAGGAUGAAAGCGGGGGACCAGGCAGCAAUGUUUGGCCUCGCGCCUUUGGAGCGGCCGAUGUCAGAUUAGGUAGUUGGUGGGGUAAAGGCCUACCAAGCCGACGAUCUGUAGCUGGUCUGAGAGGACGACCAGCCACACUGGGACUGAGACACGGCCCAGACUCCUACGGGAGGCAGCAGUGGGGAAUUUUGGACAAUGGGCGCAAGCCUGAUCCAGCAAUGCCGCGUGCGGGAAGAAGGCCUUCGGGUUGUAAACCGCUUUUGUACGGAACGAAAAGGCUCUGGCUAAUACCUGGAGCUGAUGACGGUACCGUAAGAAUAAGCACCGGCUAACUACGUG